rnacentral:rRNA from 1 species
UACAGGGGGGGGCAAGCGUUGUUCGGAAUUACUGGGCGUAAAGGGCUCGUAGGUGGCCAACUAAGUCAGACGUGAAAUCCCUCAGCUUAACUGGGGAACUGCGUCUGAUACUGGAUGGCUUGAGUUUGGGAGAGGGAUGCGGAAUUCCAGGUGUAGCGGUGAAAUGCGUAGAUAUCUGGAGGAAUCACCGGUGGCGAAGGCGGCAUCCUGGACCAACACUGACGCUGAGGAGCGAAAGCCAGGGGAGCAAACGGG